GUGCUUUUUGAGCAAUGUCAUGGUUGCAUCGGUAUCCCGCAGACCACUGACCUCCUUCCCAUUUACUUUGACCAGUUGCCGGUGUUGUUGCCGGUUAUCGCGGUGGGCAGCUUGGACAGGGUCUGCCUCGUGUAGAACGCCCCAACAUUCCUCCUCCUCUACGCAGUGGGCAACAGGCGGAGGGGGUCGUUGGUUUCCGCUGGUCGGUCUCCUCCAAGACUGUGCCUGGUUAGCGUUAUUCAGCGGGCACUCUGGUCGUUUGUGCCCUAGCUGCUUGCACCCAAAACAUCGGAUGGGUUGUGAGUAGU